rnacentral:lncRNA from 1 species
CUUCUGUCUGGCGUCGGUCAGAGGCUCCUUCAUUCAUGCGCAUAUACUUAUAUGCACGCUCCAGAAGUUCAGCAUAAGUUCGGAUGAGAGUCUUGUCCAAAGAAUAUGUGAAUCAAGAUCUCCUCAGACCUCUUUUCAUGAUCGAUAUGGCCAUGUCUUCCUUGAGGUCCUUGACCUCAAGCAAGGCCGCAUUAAAAUGGACCACAAAAUCUUGAAGUAUCUCAGUCUCUCCCUGC